AGGCCGAAAGGCGUAGUCGAUGGGAAACAGGUUAAUAUUCCUGUACUUGGUGUUACUGCGAAGGGGGGACGGAGAAGGCUAUGUUAGCCGGGCGACGGUUGUCCCGGUUUAAGCAUGUAGGCUGGUUAUCCAGGCAAAUCCGGAUAAUCAAGGCUGAGGUGUGAUGACGAGGCACUACGGUGCUGAAGUAACAAAUGCCCUGCUUCCAGGAAAAGCCUCUAAGCAUCAGGUAACAUCAAAUCGUACCCCAAACCGACACAGGUGGUCAGGUAGAGAAUACCAAGGCGCUUGAGAGAACUCGGGUGAAGGAACUAGGCAAAAUGGUGCCGUAACUUCGGGAGAAGGCACGCUGGUGUGUAGGUGA
rnacentral:rRNA from 1 species